rnacentral:rRNA from 1 species
GACGAACGCUGGCGGCGUGCUUAACACAUGCAAGUCGAACGGAAAGGCCCUGCUUUUGUGGGGUGCUCGAGUGGCGAAAGGGUGAGUAACACGUGAGUAACCUGCCCUUGACUUUGGGAUAACUUCAGGAAACUGGGGCUAAUACCGGAUAGGAGCUCCUGCUGCAUGGUGGGGGGUGGAAAGUUUCGGCGGUUGGGGAUGGACUCGGGGCUUAUCAGCUUGUUGGUGGGGUGGUGGCUUACCAAGGCGUUGACGGGUAGCCGGCCUGAGAGGGUGACCGGCCACAUUGGGACGGAGGUACGGCCCAGAAGCCUACGGGAGGCAGCAGUGGGGAAUAUUGCACAAUGGGCGGAAGCCUGAUGCAGCAACGCCGCGUGCGGGAUGACGGCCUUCGGGUUGUAAACCGCUUGCGCCGGUGACGAAGCGUGAGUGACGGUAAUGUGUAAAGAAGCACCGGCUAACUACGUG